UACAGAGGUCCCAAGCGUUGUUCGGAUUCAUUGGGCGUAAAGGGUGCGUAGGCGGCGCGGUAAGUCGGGUGUGAAAUCUCGGGGCUUAACUCCGAAACUGCAUUCGAUACUGCCGUGCUUGAGGACUGGAGAGGAGACUGGAAUUCACGGUGUAGCAGUGAAAUGCGUAGAGAUCAUGAGGAAGACCAGUGGCGAAGGCGGGUCUCUGGACAGUUCCUGACACUGAGGCACGAAGGCCAGGGGAGCAAACGGG
rnacentral:rRNA from 1 species